rnacentral:rRNA from 1 species
UACGUAGGGUGCAAGCGUUGUCCGGAAUUAUUGGGCGUAAAGAGCGUGUAGGCGGCCCGAUUAGUCCGCUGUGAAAGUCCAGGGCUCAACUCUGAAACUGCACUCGAUACUGCUUUGCUUGAGGACUGGAGAGGAGAUUGGAAUUCACGGUGUAGCAGUGAAAUGCGUAGAUAUCGUGAGGAAGACCAGUGGCGAAGGCGGAUCUCUGGACAGUUCCUGACGCUGAGGCGCGAAGGCCAGGGGAGCAAACGGG